UAAAGCUGUUGGCUUUGGUAAUGAAACGAAACAUGAUGGUGGUGAUGAUGAUGAUGAAGAAGAAG
rnacentral:ribozyme from 1 species